rnacentral:tRNA from 1 species
CACUUAGAAGCUUGUUGAGCACUCAGCCCUUUAAUCUGAGAAAGGGGAUACCUUCCCCCUUAGUGA